CGAAGGGGGCUAGCGUUGUUCGGAAUUACUGGGCGUAAAGCGCGCGCAGGCGGUCUUCCAAGUCAGUGGUGAAAGCCCGGAGCUCAACUCCGGAACUGCCAUUGAAACUGUAAGACUUGAGGCUGAGAGAGGUGAGUGGAAUUCCCAGUGUAGAGGUGAAAUUCGUAGAUAUUGGGAAGAACACCGGUGGCGAAGGCGGCUCACUGGCUCAUUUCUGACGCUCAGGCGCGACAGCGUGGGGAUCAAACAGGAUUAGAUACCCUGGUAGUCCACGCCCUAAACGAUGUCAACUGGUUGUUGGGUCUUUACUGACUCAGUAACGAAGCUAACGCGUGAAGUUGACCGCCUGGGGAGUACGGCCGCAAGGUUG
rnacentral:rRNA from 1 species